rnacentral:lncRNA from 1 species
CUAAUGUUCCAGAUGAGGUGAAAGAUGGUGAGACCUUGUGUCUGAUACUUUGGCUCCAGCACCCCUGUGUGGAUGGCUGGGGCUUCCCUGUCUAGGAAAGGAACUACAAUUAUGACAUAUCUGAGCCCCCCGAGGUGGGGGGGGGGAUGUUACUGCCUACCUGUGUUGGGGACAGAAGAGGCACUGGUGGAACCGAUGCUAUUAGCUCUGGACACUACACUCCCCUUGCGGGUGCUUUCUACAAAAAGCCCUGGAAAAGAGAGGCCCCAAUCACUAAGGGGUGGGGUGGGGAACAUUGCCAGACCCUCAGACACCUGUAGGACACAAUGGCUUUCUUUUAUUUAUUUUUUUUUUUUUGAGACGGAGUCUCGCUCUUUCAACCAGGCUAGAGUGCAGUGGCGCGAUCUCGGCUCACUGCAAGCUCCGCCUCCCAGGUUCACGCCAUUCUCCUGCCUCAGCCUCCCGAGUAGCUGGGACUACAGGCACCCGCCACCACGCCCGGCUAAGUUUUUUGUAUUUUUUAGUGGAGACGGGGUUUCACCGUGUUAGCCAGGAUGGUCUCGGUCUCCUGACCUCGUGAUCCGCCUGCCUCGGCCUCCCAAAGUGCUGGGAUUACAGGGGUGAGCCACCGCGCCCGGCCACACAAUGGCUUUCGCCAGGAACUCUGCUCAGGGACAGUGGACUGUGCUCAGGCGUGGUUGGCAACGCCACAAGAAUCUAGAGAGCCUGGGCGGGAGUGUCCCUCUAGAGCUUAAGAUGGGGCAGCUACUCACCGGGGUCCAGGCUGUUGUCGCUGUAGGCAUACUCCACCUGCGGCACAGAGCACGGGAAGGGCCCGUCAGACCUCCACCCCUGGGGGGAGGCGCCCCUUCCACUGCAGGCACGCACAGCGCGCCCCCCAUUCCGGGAAGGCGCCUCUGUCACCCUGCGAGCGCGCGCACACACAGCCCGGGGUGCGCGGGCAGCUUAAUGAGUCCCCCGAGACUGGCACAGGCUAGGCCGUGCGAGUGCCUCCCCUGUGUAUGAUCCCUUCCGCCCCUACUCCACCCCAGUGCCCCGUUCCCCCGACUCGCGCGCACACGCCUCGUUUGUCUCCCCACUUUGGCACACGCGGGGUGAGAGCUGUCUUCUCUGCAGCCCCGGGGCACGGAGAGCGUGGGGGACUUUGGGGACAGGAGGGAAGCCCCUCGUCUUCCGGCCCCCCUACGUGCACGAGCCCGACCCGCCCUCCCCUCGCCGGCGUGCGCGCCCACGGGGCUUGCCUUGACCCAAGGGUC